CUUGGCCACAUGCAAUGAUCCAAGUACAGCACCUGACGAAACAACCUGCUGCUGUAGCUGAAUGAGCACUGAUAACUCUGAGUCCCCAGUUAUCCUGUAUCACUCCCGGGAGUGAAGAACAUUGAAGCCAAAAGUGAAGAAUUGUAGCUGUCCAGACAAUUCAUGGACUUCAGC
rnacentral:lncRNA from 1 species